UACGUAGGGGGCGAGCGUUGUCCGGAAUCAUUGGGCGUAAGAGCUCGUAGGCGGUUCAGCAAGUCGGCUGUGAAAUUCCGAGGCUCAACCUCGGAACUGCAGUCGAUACUGCUGUGACUCGAGUCCGGUAGAGGAGAAUGGAAUUCCCGGUGUAGCGGUGAAAUGCGCAGAUAUCGGGAGGAACACCAGUAGCGAAGGCGGUUCUCUGGGCCGGUACUGACGCUGAGGAGCGAAAGCGUGGGGAGCAAACAGG
rnacentral:rRNA from 1 species